UUAGGUUAGUGGCUAAUAAUAUAUGCUC
rnacentral:sRNA from 1 species